CAGCUCCAAUAGCGUAUAUUAAAAUUGUUGCAGUUAAAAAGCUCGUAGUUGAAGUUCUGCUGAAAGUAACCGGUCUGCUUUUAAUAAAAGUGGUAUCUUGGURUGUAUUUAGCAAUGAUGUCCUUUGAAGUGUUUUUUACUUUAUUGUAAUAAAGCAUAUUCAGGACUUUUACUUUGAGAAAAUUAGAGUGUUUCUAGCAGGCUAACGCUUUGAAUACUGCAGCAUGGAAUAAUAAGAUAGGAUUUUAGUUCUACAUUAUUGGUUUUAAGAGCUAAAUUAAUGAUUGAUAGGGACAGUUGGGGGCAUUUGUAUUUAACUGUCAGAGGUGAAAUUCUU
rnacentral:rRNA from 1 species